UGGUUUGCCUGCCGCAGUGCCCACUGGGACUAGUUUUAAUGGCCUCUGUGCCUUUUGCCUAGAAUUAUCUCUCGAGUUUCAUUUGAACAAGCCUGAUACACAUAUGCACAUUCCUUCCAGAUCAAUGUUCUACUCGGUGUGAUGUUUGCUUGUUCCCUGGGUCGAUCCAUUAGGCAUCAAAAAACAGAACGUGAACGUCGACGAUGGGAGAUGAGAGAGAAUCUGCUUAGAAAAGAUACAUUCUACACUGACCGGAAGCAUUCAACAUCUGCAUAAUGAAGUAAUAAAAAUGCUAAAUCAUGAAGUAUAUUGAUAGUAUAUCAGGAUAUCCUAUAUCAAUCACCAUAAAUAAUAUAGCAUUCAUUUUAAAACAAUGUUAAGAAUGGAACACGACAUAAUUUAAUAUUAUUAGUAAUGCAGUGUCAACUUAUAAGUGGUUCCUACAUCCAUAAAACGUUUCCUUAAAAAAUCAGAACCCCCGUCAAAAAAUUAUAGUAUGUUUUCUACAAAUGAUUCCUUUAUAUGAUUCUUAUAUGCAAAAUCGGCAAUCACUGGUAAAUUAAAAUCUACAGGCCUUUAUGGUCCUUUUAGGUAACCAGAGAUGAUGUCUGUAUAUAUUCCACUUCCUUAAUGGUUGGAAAGUGCUUACAUAAUAGACAAAUUAUUCUUGUGCAUCCUGUGAGAUACAAAUUUAAUCUGUGAAGACACUUUAAAAACUAAGAAAUGAAGCACGAAGCCUUAGGGAACACUACUAAGCAAAUCAGUGAGCAUUCAAAUGCAAAGGAAACUGUAUGGGAAACAUUAAAUAACUAUUUUAAGAUGCCCAUUAAACAGAGUAAUGUAGGUUCUUAAAAUAAAUUACAAACUACUACCCAACAGAAAGAACACUACUUCGACUGCCACUUAAUAGGCUAAACUUCUGAAAAUAACACAAGUCACAUAAAACAGCCUAUCUUUGUGACAAAUUUCAGAUGGACAUUUCUUAUCAUCGACAAGAUCCCUUUCAGAUACUGAAUAAACAGCCAAUGGAGAAGGAAUAAGGUGAAAAAAUCAAACAUGACCUGCAUACUAAAGUGCAAUGAGUUUCCUGUGAGUAUGCACUAAGGUGGAAGAGUCAAAUGCUGUUCCAUAACACUGAAGUUCAGUUCAUAGCUGUGCUAUCUACAAAACUCACUGCACUUGUCUACCCAAGUCUUCUGUAUAAUUUCUAUGAAAUCUAGCCUCAUACACAUAAGGCAUGCAAGACACAACUUGCCAAUCAUAAUUGAUGAAAUGACGAAGACAACCUCUAUGUCAGAUUAAAUUGUGGAUACCUCUUUGGCCUUUUAUUAUGCACAAGAGUCAAAUUUGUUAGUAGGUCAGAAUGUUUUAUACCAGGUGUGACCUCAUUGCCAGCCUGCCUGCCUUCCCAUGGUGAAAAAACUAAUUUCAAAAACAAGAAACUACAAACAUAUUCACAAAUGCAAAGGUAUUGAGAAUUUUAUGGCAAAGGAGCAGUGCCAACAUUUUCCUUCUUGUCUUUAUAGUAAUGCAAAUGUAUCUUGUUAAAUAAAAACUUUGCAUAAAAAUGUAUUCAAUUAAAUAUAUUGUUAACACUGA